GGGGUUGUAGUUCAGUGGUAGAGCACUUGUCUGGCACACAUGAGGCACAAGGUUCGAUCCUCAGCACCA
rnacentral:tRNA from 1 species